AACGAACGCUGGCGGCAGGCCUAACACAUGCAAGUCGAGCGCCCUUUCGGGGGAGCGGCGGACGGGUGAGUAACGCGUGGGAAUAUGCCCUUCUCUACGGAAUAGCCUCGGGAAACUGAGAGUAAUACCGUAUACGCCCUGUGGGGGAAAGAUUUAUCGGGGAAGGAUUAGCCCGCGUUGGAUUAGGUAGUUGGUGGGGUAAUGGCCUACCAAGCCGACGAUCCAUAGCUGGUUUGAGAGGAUGAUCAGCCACACUGGGACUGAGACACGGCCCAGACUCCUACGGGAGGCAGCAGUGGGGGAUCUUAGACAAUGGGGGCAACCCUGAUCUAGCCAUGCCGCGUGAGUGAUGAAGGCCUUAGGGUUGUAAAGCUCUUUCAGCUGGGAAGAUAAUGACGGUACCAGCAGAAGAAGCCCCGGCUAACUCCGUG
rnacentral:rRNA from 1 species